ensembl:lncRNA
AUGUUGGGAGCUGGAAAUGUCUACUUUUUCCCAUUUCAACCCCCCAAACUAACCCCUGCUUUUCUCUUGCUGCUGCUGCUGCUGCUAGUGGUGGUGGCUGCUGCUGCUGUUGUUGUUGUUGUUGUUUUCCAGACCUGCAUAAUGAACUCUGGAAGAAAAGUGAGGGAACUCAAAAAAAUAAGAAAACUGAAACAAGGUCGCAAACCACAUGAUCUACAGGGGAGCCACCACUGCCUCCUGAAGAACCCCAGUCAGGAAUCCCAGAUUAAUUUCCCCAGCAUCCUGUUUGGAAACCACAUGUCCGCCCUGCAACUGUACCUGGCUUGUGUCCCACAAGGAGAAAGAUGCAGGGGCCUCCAGAAGCUAAAGAGAGAAGUAAAUGUUGCUGAGAGGGAAAAUUGUCAGGCCUCAGUGUUCCAGAGCAGGAGGCAUUCCUUCAUUCCCAGAGAGGCCCUGGGCCUCAGCAAGCAAGCCCGACAAGCCCUCCGAAGCCAGAAUCCAAGCUUCAGGCCACGCCUCCCUCACUGCUGGGCCCUGGACAGCGAGGUUGCUGCGCAGAACCCCUCUCCUCAGGGGGACAGUCCUCAGGGCUGCCCCACCUAACCUGUUCCCUCAGUCACUCAAGCCCUCCGUCCUCUGUCACAGCCUGGCUCUGUCCCUUCCCAUGCCCCAGCCCCCAACCUCCCAGGACCAAGUGUCUCAGGGUUCCUACCCUCCUCCAGCCCUGACCAGCCUGGAAGCCAAGUGGCGAGCAUGUGGUCAGCCGGGUGGGCCCUGAGAGCCGGUGGAAUGGUGUUCAUGAUGCAGGGAACAAGAGUGGGGGAGGAGGGAAGGUGAGGGGUACAGGGGUGCCUCUGCCAGGCCACCACUCUGCAGCUCAUUCUCCUCUGAGGUUAUUCCCUGACCCACACGCCUCUGGAGCCCACCCCAGCUGCUUCCUCUUCCUAGGGGUCUCCACCUGCUGUUCUGUGACUCCCCUGAAAAUAAACUUUUGAAAGGCAGCCUGUGUGGUGAUUGUGAGCAUGGGUUUAGGGUCAAGAGGUAACCCCAUAGCCAGACUUCAUCCUCCUCCAGGCCUCCAUCCAGGGCUGCAGAAAUAGCUAGCAAUUGGCUGGCUAAGCCGGCAGUGGCUUACAUGGAAAGAGGGGCCCUCUGCAGCUGUCACCUGUGCUUGUGGAUUUGGUUUUCCAGUGUCAGGAAGGAAAGGUGAUUUGGGAGACACCAAGCAAAGAGCAGGAGGACCUUUUCUGUCCCUUGAAAUUUAGGAGGGAGAUGACCACACCGAGGCUGAGCCUUCCAGCUCCACUGGCGCCUGAUGCCCUCCCUCACCUGUGACUGCCACCCUGGGAGGUUCUUUAAGGCUCUGUGCAUAGCUCCCCUGCACAGAGGGGAGGGCGCAUGCCUGUCAUGAACGCUCAGGUGGUGGAGUCCACAGGACAGGUAGGAGAGAAAUGACUGUGGCCACUCAGCAACCACUUAUGCCAGACACCCUUUUAAUAGAAUCACCUUCAUCCAAUCCUCACAGUCAUCUCUUGAAAUAGGCACUAUUCUCAUUUUGUAGACAAGGAAACUGAGACUGUAAGAGGUGAAAGUGCUAAUGCAGAUCAUACUUAUUAGGGACGGAGGCAGGACACAGCCCCACAAACACAGGGGGCAGCUGCCAAGGGGCCUCUUUUUCCAUAUAAGCCACCGCCUGCUUACCCAGCCAAUUUCUAGCUAUUUCUGAAGCCCCGGGAUUGAGGCCUGAAGAAGGAUUGAG